AGGCACGAUCUCUAGCUGUCUGAGAGGAAGAUCAGCCACACUGGGACUGAGACACGGCCCAGACUCUACGGGAGGCAGCAGUGGGGAAUAUUGCACAAUGGGGGAAACCUGAUGCAGCCAUGCCGCGUGUGUGAAGAAGGCCUUUCGGGUUGUAAAGCACUUUCAGUUGUGAGGAAAAGUUAGUAGUUAAUACUGCUAGCCGUGACGUUAACAACAGAAGAAGCACCGGCUAACUCCGUGCCAGCAGCCGCGGUAAUACGGAGGGUGCGAGCGUUAAUCGGAAUUACUGGGCGUAAAGCGCACGCAGGCGGUUUGUUAAGCUAGAUGUGAAAGCCCCGGGCUCAACCUGGGAUGGUCAUUUAGAACUGGCAGACUAGAGUCUUGGAGAGGGGAGUGGAAUUCCAGGUGUAGCGGUGAAAUGCGUAGAUAUCUGGAGGAACAUCAGUGGCGAAGGCGACUCCCUGGCCAAAGACUGACGCUCAUGUGCGAAAGUGUGGGUAGCGAACAGGAUUAGAUACCCUGGUAGUCCACACCGUAAACGCUGUCUACUAGCUGUUUGUGACUUUAAGUCGUGAGUAGCGAAGCUAACGCGCUAAGUAGACCGCCUGGGGAGUACGGCCGCAAGGUUAAAACUCAAAUGAAUUGACGGGGGCCCGCACAAGCGGUGGAGCAUGUGGUUUAAUUCGAUGCAACGCGAAGAACCUUACCUACACUUGACAUGCAGAGAACUUUCUAGAGAUAGAUUGGUGCCUUCGGGAACUCUGACACAGGUGCUGCAUGGCUGUCGUCAGCUCGUGUCGUGAGAUGUUGGGUUAAGUCCCGCAACGAGCGCAACCCUUGUCCUUAGUUGCCAGCAUUAAGUUGGGCACUCUAAGGAGACUGCCGGUGACAAACCGGAGGAAGGUGGGGACGACGUCAAGUCAUCAUGGCCCUUACGUGUAGGGCUACACACG
rnacentral:rRNA from 1 species